CUUGGUGACAAUACCGGUGUUGUUCUACCUGAUCCCAUUCCGAACUCAGAAGUAAAAGACGCCAGGGCCGAUGAUAGCGGUUUAUCCGCAAAAGUAGGUCGUCGCCAGAC
rnacentral:rRNA from 1 species